AGAACGAACGCUGGCGGCAGGCUUAACACAUGCAAGUCGAGCGCCCCGCAAGGGGAGCGGCAGACGGGUGAGUAACGCGUGGGAACAUACCCUCCGGUUCGGAAUAGCUCAGGGAAACUUGGAUUAAUACCGGAUACGGCCUAGCGGCGAAAGAUUGAUCGCCGGAGGAUUGGCCCGCGUCUGAUUAGCUAGUUGGUGGGGUAAUGGCCCACCAAGGCGACGAUCAGUAGCUGGUCUGAGAGGAUGAUCAGCCACAUUGGGACUGAGACACGGCCCAAACUCCUACGGGAGGCAGCAGUGGGGAAUAUGGACAAUGGGCGCAAGCCUGAUCCAGCCAUGCCGCGUGAGUGAUGACGGCCUUAGGGUUGUAAAGCUCUUUCGCUAGGGACGAUAAUGACGGUACCUAGACAAGAAGCCCCGCUAACUUCGCGCCAGCAGCCGC
rnacentral:rRNA from 1 species